AGUUCUAGAUUGUUCGACAUCAUACGGACAAGUACGCAAUCUGCCAGGAUGAAGACUCAUGCUUGAGAUAAAAACGCAAAGACCACUUCAAAAAUAAAUAACGUAAGGAAUUGGAGCACUGCGUUUGUAAUCUUUUGCAGCCUUCAAACCACGCAGUAUUUUACCAUCUAAGCAAUGAAUUUUCAAGGCAAUCCUAAUAAGUGCGUGGAUUUGGUUCCCUGCUUUAGCAACUGCAUAUGAUACAGACAGUGAUAUGUUUCUAGUCUGCAACUCGUCAGAGUGUAUUCAAAGAGCCAAACUAUUAAAUGACUCACUAAACACCACUAUUAAUCCUUGCACGGAUUUCUAUUCAUAUGUAUGCGGCCGGUGGGAAAGCAAUCAUCCUCUUUCAAGUGGUGGGGGAAGCUAUGAUGUUUAUCAGGAGAUUCGUAAAGAUAUUCCGGAAAUGCUAAGCUAUAUUCUUGGAAACAGAACCCUGGUUGAGACUAACCAAACCAUAAUCGACAAGGUGACAAUCAUGUAUAAUGCAUGUUUAGCCCUUCCAGAUAGCCGUGCUGCUUUGAAAAAAGUGCUGGAUCAAUCUGGAUUUUUCGCCUGGCCGAUUCUCACUGACCAAAAUAUCUUCAACUCCAGUAAUUGUUCGGACUUACUUCACCAUAUGAACAUUUCUGCAAUUCUCUAUGUGCGCCUUACAAAUAUGCGAGGAUACGCCCUGGACCCGGCGAAUCCUUACCGUAUGACG